AGCCUUAUAGUCAAUUAUGAUUUUAAAUUGCAAAUUUAAAGGUGAGUUUAAUCUAAGGCUU
rnacentral:tRNA from 1 species